AGUGAACGCUGGCGGUAGGCCUAACACAUGCAAGUCGAACGGCAGCACAGUAAGAGCUUGCUCUUACGGGUGGCGAGUGGCGGACGGGUGAGGAAUACAUCGGAAUCUACUUUUUCGUGGGGGAUAACGUAGGGAAACUUACGCUAAUACCGCAUACGACCUACGGGUGAAAGCAGGGGAUCUUCGGACCUUGCGCGAUUGAAUGAGCCGAUGUCGGAUUAGCUAGUUGGCGGGGUAAAGGCCCACCAAGGCGACGAUCCGUAGCUGGUCUGAGAGGAUGAUCAGCCACAAUGGAAAUGAGACACGGUCCAGACUCCUACGGGAGGCAGCAGUGGGGAAUAUUGGACAAUGGGGGCAAGCAUGAUCCAGCCAUACCGCGUGGGUGAAGAAGGCCUUCGGGUUGUAAAGCCCUUUUGUUGGGAAAGAAAAGCAGCAGGUUAAUACCCCGCUGUUCUGACGGUACCCAAAGAAUAAGCACCGGCUAACUUCGUG
rnacentral:rRNA from 1 species